UACGUAGGGGGCAAGCGUUGUCCGGAUUUAUUGGGCGUAAAGAGCGUGUAGGCGGCUAGAUAGGUCCGUUGUGAAAACUCGAGGCUCAACCUCGAGAUGUCGAUGGAAACCAUCUGGCUAGAGUCCGGAAGAGGAGAGUGGAAUUCCUGGUGUAGCGGUGAAAUGCGCAGAUAUCAGGAAGAACACCCGUGGCGAAGGCGGCUCUCUGGUACGUGACUGACGCUGAGACGCGAAAGCGUGGGGAGCAAACAGG
rnacentral:rRNA from 1 species